rnacentral:rRNA from 1 species
AUGGACAAGUGGAUUCCGGGAACCAUCUCCAUGAAACCUUUAUUCAGACCUCCUAGCACUAAUAUUCAGAGAGUCUCGGAUCUCAUUGACACCGGGAACUGGUCUUGGAAACAGGACCUUAUAAGGACAACUUUUAUCGCCCCAGAUGCAGAUGCUAUUCUUAACAUACCCAUCAGGAGGGGAGGAGGACAAGAUUUCUUUGCUUGGGCCUUUGAACGAUCAGGCAACUACACUGUUAAGUCAGCGUACCGUGCUCUAAUGACUCAUAACGAGCAUCUAGCUCUAGAAGAAGGGACGGCUACAGGUGCCUCAACGGAUGAUAAACAGAUGUGGACAGCCUUAUGGAAACUCAAAGUGAUCCCAAAGGUUCGGGUGUUUUGGUGGAGGGUGUUGAGGGGGAUUCUACCUGAUGAAUGUAUCCUCAAGCACCGCCACAUUUCAGUUCUUGACACUUCUUGUGCUUGGUUUGAUCUCAGACUCCCUCGACUACAUCGAAGUUCGUGGGCUAGGGACAUUCUAUGUGGUGAUCGGAUCAGGGAUGCGGAUCGCCCAAAAAUCAUCACCAUCAUGUGGACGAUCUGGCAUUCUCGCAACCGGAUCAAACAUGAUGAAGAAGGCAGAGACCCAGCAGCUGCGAUGAGAUCUACGCGGGAGGCCCUAGCGCUGCUGGAGCUACCCCGCAAUGAAGCAGCCGUGCUGCCGGGGCAUGGUUGGAAGCCGCCGAAACCAGGUACGAUCAAGAUUUCAUGUGAUGGAGCACUCAAUGUGGCGGAAGGUCGAGGAGGGGCGGGUGGUAUAGCCCGGUCCGUAUCUUCGCUCUUGGGUGCUUGGUGCAAACCGUUCGGCAACAUCUCCGAUCCUCUUAUCAUGGAAGCCCUAUCAAUGCGAGAAGGAACGCUUUUUGCAAAACUUCGAGGCCUAUCGCAUGUGAUAAUGGAGACUGACUGUCAGGAGUUAGUGCAACUCUGGCAUACACGCCACAACUCACGUUCGGUUGUGGCUCCUAUCCUAGAUGAAAUAGGAGAGCUUAGUUGUGAUUUUUCUGUUUUUCAGAUUCAACAUGUAUUAAGGGCUAGCUUCUGGAAUCCCCCAUUGAUCAACAAAAAAGGCUGUUCCAUUAUACCAAAUCUCCGCAGGUCACGUCAGCUUCACACACGCAGUGCAGCAACCAUAUUCCCUCUCGCACCAUGCAUGCAGGAUGCAGCGGCGCACUUGAGACGUGUCACCCCGACGCGCUACGAGGCCUCACAUCUCCGUUCCCUUUGCACCGCCGGCCACACACUACGCGCCACUACCCGAGCAAAUUAG